rnacentral:lncRNA from 1 species
GGCGGGAACAUGGAGGACCGACGGGGAGGUGCGCUCCGAACCGCCGGCGCUCGGGCUCUGCCGCCGCCCGCGAGGUUUGGACCCGGGGGAGGAGGCAGGGACGCGGCGGGGGGGGCCUGCGCCGAGGGCAGCUCCGGCCAGGGCCGGACCGAGGGGGUGGGAUGGCCCGAGGAAACUUUGGGAAGUUUAGGCACCGCGACUGGAGACGGCGCAGGGCCUGCAGGACACAUGGAAAGACUUUCCCAAGUCAUGCUCCAGAGAAAGGAAACGCUGCUGGCCUGUAUCAGGGAAGCUAAUUUCCCCCUUCUUUUCUGCAAGUUUUCCAAAUCUUAUGACUCUAAUUUCCAGAUCAGAAAGUAAGAUUCUACGUUUAUUAUUCUUUGUACUCUGCAUAUGGAGGGCCCCCAUGGGAACACCGUGAUGGGCUAAGUACCCAGACUCAGGCGUCUGCAGGAAAUCCAGCCACAUCUGCUUUGGAGCCUGCAAGCCCCAGGUCAGGCCUUCUCCCACUUUCUCCUGACAGACACCCCCUUUUCCUCCCUACCAAGAAACAGUAGGCUCGGGGGUAGUGAUGCAACAGUUAAGCUUGAAAUUCUAUAUGUGGCAUUCUGAGUUAAGUUCUGAUAGUUCCCUUUAUCAUAUGGAAAAUAAGAAAAUUAGCUAAAAAUGUUAGCUUGAAAGCCAUUGAUUCAAGAAAAACAGAAGCUUAUGCCCACAUAAAAACUUGCAUAUGAAUGUUCAUAGUAGCAUUUUCAUAAUAGCCAGAGAGGGAAAAGAGUUCCACUGCUGUCAACUGAUGCAUGUGGCAUAGUGAUAUCCUGGAAUAUUAUUCAGCAAGCAAAAGAAAUGAAAUAUCGAUACAUGUGACAACAUGGAUGAACCUUAAAAAACAUCAUGCUAAGCAAAAGAGCUUGGGGAAAGGAUGGGAGUGCUGGAAGGUGACAGCAAGGCAGGGGGGUUCUUUUGGGGGUGAUGAAAAUGUUCUAAGAUUGAGGUGUUGAUUGUCUAACUCACUGAGUAUAUUAAAAACUACUGAAUUUGAUCCCUUAAAUGGAUGAAUUGCACAGUGUGUGAAUUAUAUCUCAGUAAAGCUGUUAGUAUUAUUUAAAUCUCUCUUUUCCUGAACUUAAUCACCUUGGAAUAAAUGUGACCAGGUUGAAAAACAGAUUUUCUAAAAGAUAACUAAAAUGAGAAUGCAAAAAACAAUGACUUUUCCUUAGAUGGAAAGACUCUGGUUUGCGAGGUCGUGCAUACCCACAAUAUAGAUUUUAUGUUUUGAAUUUUGCAGACUUUUUCCCUUAGUUUGAAAGCAUUAAAAUAUGUUUAAUCAAUGAUACUGAGGUGGAUUUUUUCCCCUCAUUUUUCUUUCUCCUUUAGGCAAUAGCAUUCCAACUUUCUGUUAAGGAAACAGCAACCAUAUUUUCAGUUCCUAUGUUUGCAUAUUGCUGACAUUGAGCCAUAGGCGCUAUGAUUCAAGCCUUAGCAAUGGGCAUAUUCUAUCCAGUUCACACCAGCACAUCCAAUUAAUCCAUUGGUUAACCUUCAGAAAUUUGGUGAACCGGUUGUUAAACACAAUUGUUAAAUUUUAAAGCAUAUAAACAUAAUUAAAUGAAUUAUAUUAAAACUGAAGGCAAUAUUCAAACAUUAUUUCCUAAUCAUUCAAUUACAUUUUAUUAUUGUCUAGGCUCCUCACACUACUUGUACCUAUUGGAUCUGUACAGUGGAAAUUGAUAUGCUACUAUGUAUCUCUUCCCAAUUCCAUGUUCAGUGACUUGCCCUCGAUAACUUAAAGUAGGCUAUGGUGGCAGUACUUAUAUGAUACAACUGGCCAGUGUUAUUUAUCUAGGCUUUCCCCUUCCCUUUUCCAAAGAGACUGUUAAGCAUUUACCAGCUGCAGUAGGUUGAAUGGUGUUCCCCCAAAACAUAUCCCAGUCCCUGGAACUUAUGAAUGUAACCUUAUUUGGAAAAAAGGUCCUGGCAGCUGUAAUUAAGUUAAGGAUCUUGAGAUGAAAUCAUCUUGAUUUCUCCCGGGGGCCCUAAAUACAGUCACAUGUGCCUUUACAGGACAGAAGCAGAGAGUGAUUGGACAGAGAAACACACAGAGGGGAUGAGGAAGCAAUGUGACCACAGAGACACAGGCCGGUGAUGUGGCCACAAACCAAGGAAUUCCUGCAGCCACCGAAAGCUGGAAGAGACAAGAAACAGAAUCUCCUCCAUAGCAGCUGGAAGUAGCAUGCCCUGCUGACAGCUUGAAUUUGGACACAUAGUGCCUAGAAAUGUGAAGGAAUAAAUCACCGUUGUUUUAAGCCAUGCAGUUUUUGGUGAUUUGUUAUUGCAACCACGCAAAAUGAAUGCACCAUCACUACCCUGCUGUGUGGUGCAGGGAUGGGACGAGACCCAAGGCUACACUGUGGAAAAUCAGCAGGGGAGGCAGAGUUGGUUCCAUCCUUGCCACUGUAUCUGUGUAAGAAUAAAAAUGGCACAGAAAGUGGUAAAGUAUGGGUACAAGGGGAGACAUUCCUGUCAAUGUUGUUUGAGAAACUGGAUCUUUUUCACCACUGGAUUUUUUUUUUUUCUUUUGGUACCGGGGCUUGGGACCUUGCACUUGCGAGGCAGACAGCAGAACCACUGGAUUUUUUUAAUUUACACAAACCACUUAAUUUUUCAUUUUAAACCAAGUUCCUAACUGUUACAGACAUGUUAAUUGUUGAAAUUGCUCAUUUAAAAAACUAAAAAUAUAUAACUUACUAUAAUAUGAUCAGUUACUAUUUAAUUUAGGCAUAACUAUUAAAGACAAUCAGCAAAAUGUAUACCAGUUAGUGAAAAUCUGAUAUCUAUCUCAAUUCAAUGUUUAUUUGUUCCACAAACACCUACUGAAAGCAUUUUAUUCAGAUAGAUAUCCAUCCAUUUAAGAGCUUACAACUUAUAUUCCAGUAGUGAGUUUAGUACAACUUAACGUUAUUGAAGUCACUAGUGGUACUGUAUUAACUUCUCAGUAUGUAGUCCAUAAUUUCUGGAUCAUUUUAAAUUCAUGUAAUUUCAUUAUUUUUCCUAAAAAGCAUCUGUUUGUCGCACAAUUUAAAUACUUAAAAUUUUGUCUGAGAUAACAUUGAAGUACAUUCACAAUUCAUACAAAAAAUCUUUGGUAAAUGAGGUUGAAAAAAAUAUUUUGUAGUGAUUUGCAAUGAUAUUGUAAUUUUGAUAGUUUUGUACUUUGGGGAAUUUUUAUUUGUGGACAAACAUUUUUGUGAAAAGAGCAUGUCACAGAAAUUCUCAGAGAUAGACAUAUUAUUUUGAACUAUUUUAAAAAUAAAAUUAAAAUUCUCUUACCUUCUGCCCUUGCUAUUGUUAGUUAUUUUUCCAGGUGCAAGAGGUUUCAAGUUAAUUUGCUUCUCUGUAAUCUUUCCUCCACUUUCAAAUACCUUCAUUUUUUUUUUUGAUGAACCCAUUUUGGAUGAGUUCCCAGUAAACUUUCUAAUUAAUUAAAUGCAGAUAAGUUUAACUCAGAUAAUAUUUAUGGUCAGUUUUUUGAUAGUUGGCUAACUGGAAGCCCAGCUUUCAGAAUUAAAAAGAAAUAUAACUCUAGAAGUAAGGUUUGGUUGUUGUUAAAAGAGCCCCUUAUGAAUACUGGUACUAUUAACAUCAAUAAGCUGAUACUCACUGGUCUUGAAUUAAAAUGGAAAUGGAUUUUCAAAUACACAUUCAAUAUAUUA